CUACGUCCACGGAGUAGAGGAGUUCUCAUUAAUUGUGAAGGGUUUUACACGAGUACAUAGGUUCAAGCUCUCCUUUAGUGAGUUCUAGUGAAUGAUUUAGUACAAAUGACAUUAGGAAAUAUUGUGAGAGAAUGAUCUCUAUUUAUAGAAGAGAGUUUCUAGUUUCAUUGACAUUGACACGUGUCGUGCUAUGAUUGGCUUCUGAUGUCAAUACGUGUCGUGCUAUGAUUGGCCUCCUGGUUAGAAGGAAACUCUUCUGGAUCCUUGACAGUAUAACGUUGACCGGUGCUCAAUAGUUUCGGGAUUGGUCAAGUAUAGUACAAACAAGCUCCAUUGCCAUGUAGCCACUCUGUUUUCACUUGCAUCGCAAACUUUUGAGUGUCUUGGAUGACAAAUCAAAUGCAAUGGUGCAGUCCAUGGUGGAAGACUUCUUCUUCUUCAUUAUAAACAUCAAUUCAACUUUUCCCGUCAACUUAGCCGCGCUGUUCAGAGUCAACACCCCGCUGCUCAAUUCACUACCAAGGUCGGUACCGCUCAAUGCACUUGAACUCAAGUUCACCUCGACAUUGAUUUUUUUGGUGGAAAGCAUUCCAGCCUUGCUCUUGGGAAUAGAAACUUACCCAACAGUCGCCCUUGGUACAAAACUUGUAUGGACCAAAAUUUGUGUUUUUGACUCUAAUUUGUGUUGUGAAUUUAGUGUCGAAUGAAGGCGUUGCUGGGACGGAGUUGAGGUCUUGCACGUUGAUGUUGCCUAGCUGGACCUUUGGGGUUUUAACUUUCAUGACAGUGAGACUCAUCGCAGUUAUGACCAUGAUCUAAAACACAAUGAAUAUGCCUAUAUAAAUGGCCAAUUUGAUUCUCUUCUUGCGUUUCAUCUCAUCAGUGGAUUCCAAAGACUCUGCAUCGCUUCAUGUGUAACCAUUUGCUGGUGCCAAAGGAUAAACCUAUUGGUUCUUCUCGGCCAUGUUCUUCUCUUGUGAUACAAUGGAAAAGAAAAUUCUCUUAAUUUGAGAUGUAUUUUUGCAACGAUGAAACUUGGAAGUGGAGGGAGUUGUUUGUGGAGGUAAUGGAAAAGUAGGGUGCUAUAUAUAGUGUUUGGAGUUUGUCUAGGAAUUAAUUUAAUGCCAACGCCCAACGCGCCCUUUGCCGAAGGUGGAAUUAUUGACUUCAAGUUCUAGAUGGUCGAUGCUUUUUGUGAAAACGACAGGUGAGGGAUAAUAUUAAGGUAAACUUUCUUGAUCACUUUCCUAACAUCGUUGGCAAAUUAUUGUUUAUAAACUUGAUUUUUAUUAUUUAUUCCCACAUGACAAACGAAAUAUUUCUAAGGUAAUUUUCACUCUCAUUUUCUUUCUUGCAUGAAUCCUCUUGUUUUAGAACAAUACUUGGAUACUUAUAGAUGAGUAGGAACUUCUACUCAAAACUAGUGUUUUAAUCAUAAAGUUUUGUGUUUAUAAUUAGAUCUGUUCAUAUUAUGAAUCACAUUGUAAAGAUUAUCUUUGCAAAAAAUAAAUUAAAACUAAGGUCGUUUAGUCAAUCUAUUGUAGCAAAUACAUAGACGGUUCGUAGUGCUUUUACCAAUACCAUUUAUUAUUUUUAAACAAUUUGAUGACUAAACGAUCUUAGUUUUAGUUGAUUUUUUGCAAAUGCGAUCUUUAUAGGGUGAUUUAUAAUAUGAACGGUUCUGAUUAUAAACACGAAGUUCUAUAAAUUUACAAUGAACAAUUUUGAGAAAUUUUGAGUAGGAAUUUCUACUCAUGUUUGAGUAGCCAAGUAUUGUUCCUUGUUUUAUUCAUGAAUAUUUUAUUAAUUUAUUCAAUCAUAAGGUUAAAAAACAAUCGAGCAAAUCCAAGGGCUUAAGAUAAUUUAAUUUUCAAGCUUUUAUUUUGUUCAACAUGUGAUUGAAAUGAUGAAUAUAAAAUGUGUAAAUUCUAACGGUAAUGGAGAUACCAAUCCAUCAACAUAUACAUAUAAUUUUUUUUUUAAAUGAUAGACGCACUUAUUUCAACAUCUCACACAUAUCCAUGUUUUAUCUUGUUUGUUGCUUUUGUGUUACUUAGGGCUGGUUUGGUAUUGCUGUGCUUUGAAAAAAAAUUGCUGUGAGAAUAAGCGGCUGUUAAAUAAAUCAACAGAGUGUUUGGUAAACUUUUUUGUAAAAGUGCUUUUGGAAAAAAAAAAACAGUCUGAUAGUGAGUCUUUUCAUUAAAUGGGCAAUGUAGCUCCGUGUGCUUUGAAAAAAAACCAGUUUUCCAAAGCUACAAAUAGCAGCUUCAGCUUUUUCCUUUGAUUUCAGCUUAUUCUCACAGCAGCUUCCAAAAUAAGCCUUUUUUUUUCAGUUUACCAAACACCUAAAACCCUCACAGUUUUUUUUCAUGGGUGCUUUUUUUUUAAGCACCUCACUCCCAAACCACCCCUUAAUCAAUUAGACAAAGAGAGGCUAAAAUAGGUGUAUGAUCGAAAAUCAUCUCCCAUUUUAAUAUUCUAAGGGGAAAUGUGAUGGUGGCACAGGAACUUUGCCUGGAACACAAACAAUUGGAUCUCCAGGUCUUACAGAAAAAUGCACCUCAUAAAAGACUUCUUCAUACAACCCUCUAGAUUGAAUAUAAGUCAAAAACUCUGCACUAGGCCCAUAUGUGGAGGAAGAUUCUCUCUCCUCCUAUUACUAUCUCCUCCUCUCAUUCUUCUUUUUGUUUUAUUCUAUAUAUAAAAAAUUCAAGAUAAGAUGUACAUGUGACAUAAUCGCAACUAUUUAAAUAAGAGGGGAUUGAAGGAGAGAAAGAUUAGAAGGGAAGAAAAUCUUACUCCUUUGGUUACAUGCAAGCAUUUCGUUCAUCACCAGUCAUCAUAUUUCUCUCAGCUCAGUGAAAAGUAUGAAUUGCAUGUACAUAGGGUCUUUGAAUGUUUCUUACUUUGUUUGAAAAUUUCAGUUCUUAGCUUUUAAGGGAAAAGGAACUUGCUAAGCUUGCAGAUGAUGCACCUGCUAACAAAAAGAAUGAGUAUGAUAAGUGGAUUAAGGCAAAUAGGAAGACAAUGUUGGUGAUCAAGAGGUCAAUGUCUGACCUCCGUCGAAGAUCCUUCCUUGGUUCACCUUGCCCCAAACUCUCUACCAGUACUCUUGCUGAAGAGCACUUACAAUGCUCAAAAAGAUGGAAUUUGAAUGAAUUAAUUGCAAUCUGUGUGCACGAGGGCAAAACAUUCAGUAAGAAAGGAACAAGAAGCAAGGGGCUAUUUGGGUGCUUUUGAAAUGGUAAAGUUUUUAAAAUACCUAAAAUUGUCCUUCUCUAAUUAAGAUUUUAAAGGAAAACAAUUAAAUUGAAAUGGGUAAAAUAAAAUUUAACUUCCAUGAUGAUAAUUUUUUUUUUAGUACAUCGAUAUUUUUACACCAAGGGGAUGGAGAGUUCGGCUAAGCCACACAAUGGGCAACCUAAUUAAAGAGUCCAUGAUGAUAAUUAAAGAGUCCCCACGUUUUUGGGGUGGUAACUUUUAUUAAUUUUCAUUCAAAUUUUAAAAAUUAAUUGAAAAAAAUACAAAAAUACAAAACGUUACACAUACGUAGUGUGUGCAAGGGGCUAGUUGGGAUAAAACCUCCACACCAGAUGGGCAAGCAUACUGUUUAGGAUUUUAGGGUUAAAGAAAUAUAAUCUGUGGUUCCACUCACCUUCUAAACUUAAUCUGGACCGUCUUUGAUGACAUUUCAAACGUGACAGUGCAUCACUAUCAAAAUUCUAUUAAAAUUGUGUGAUGGACUCAUUGAUGAUAAGUAGGCCAGGUAUUCUAUUAAUUAUGCAAUUACUAAAUAUGUUAGAGAAAAGAAGCACCUAUUCUGUAUUCAAUCGUAUGGAAAAAGGAAAAAGAAAUAACAGAUCAGGCCCGGGGCCUCAUUGGUUUGAAAUAGUAGAGAAAUCUAUUUAUAUAUAGUUCUGCAGCAAAAUACAAGUCACAAGAGAACGAAUGAAAAAAUUAACAAAUCAAGUACAAGUAUUGAUCUGCAGGUCAUUAAUCACUUGCAUUGCAAACUUUUGAGCGUCUUCGAUGACAAAUCAAAUGCCAUGGUGCAGUCCAUGGUGGAAGACUUCUUCUUCUUCAUUAUAAACAUCAAUUCAACUUUUCCCGUCAACUUAGCCGCGCUGUUGAGAGUCAACACCCCGUUGCUCAUUUCACUGCCAAGGUUUGUACCGCUCAAUGCACUUGAACUCAAGCUCACCUCGACAUUGAUUUUUUUGGUGGAAAGCAUUCCAGCCUUGCUCUUGGGAAUAGAAACUUGCCCGACAGUCGCACCUUGGUACAAAAACGUGACAAUGCCUGCAUCAUACUUGUAUGGACCAAAAUUUGUGUUUUUGACUCUGAUUUGUGCUGUGAAUUUAGUGUUGAAUGAAGGUGUUGCUGGGACGGAGUUGAGGUCUUGCACAUUGAUGUUGCCUAGCCGGACCUUUGGGGUUUUAACUUUCAUAAUAGUGAGACUUAUCGCGGUUAUAACCAUGAUCUGAA
rnacentral:lncRNA from 1 species